rnacentral:lncRNA from 1 species
UUUUUUUUUUUUUUUUUUUUUAAUUUUCUUAGACAUGUAAUUUAAAUCUCUUGACUCUCCGGAAGGUAAAUGACCAACAGGAAAAAUAAAUGCUCUUUCCAAAGCAUUGAAUGUAUAGGGCCAGAGGGUGUAUGUGGUAAUGAGAAAGGCUGGAGCCCAAGUUUGGGGAAUUAAGUACCAAGGGAAAGGAUGUAUGACUGGGACUUAUAUUAAAUCCUGCGCAGUAGGAAAUUAAAUCUGUGUUACAAGCCUCACGAAGUUGUUAUCCGUUUGAUCUGUUGAUAAUCAGGGAGGUAAGAAAAUAUGUGGAUGUCUAGGAAAGAAGAGACAAUCUCUGUUAUCAUGCAGCUAAGAAGGGCUGGAUGGAAAUGGAGCCAGUGAUUCAGGACUGAAUGAGACUGACCUGAAUGGACCAGGGAGUAUACUGGUUUGAAGGACCUGUGUUUUCUCUGAUGGAGAUUCUUGAGAAGAGAGAUGGGUUAGCAUAUGUUUUAUUAUUUCUGGGGCUACAAGUUGACCUGACCUGAAACAGCUGAGACAAGAACCCCGAAGCAGAGCAGCCUGCAGUGAGCAUUAAUAGGUUAGCUGAUGUUCUGAGCAGAACUCCAUGGUCCCCUCUGUAAGAACACACGUGGGUUUACCGUUUUAUCAGUCUCAUGAGGUGUAGUGUUUUGCAGAGUGUGGUGACUAGAAAGGAACGUGACAGGUGUUUCUCAGGUGUUAGCAUAUUCUGAUCUUUGAUCUGGAUGCUUGUUACCUGAGUGUGAUCUUUUUAUGAAAAUCCAUAAAGCUGCACACUUGUGCAUACUUUUUACUAUUUAUUGUACUUCAACAAAGUUUAAAAAGUAUUGAUACCUGAACCUUAUCCUGCAAUAAAACCAAAAUCUAAGGAGAUAGGGCCACAUUCUUAAUAUUUAAAAAUUUUCCAAGCGAUUCAGAUGGGAAGCCAGAUUUGAGAAUCGUGGAGAAAGAACUAUACACACCUGCACACACUACACCCCUAUGUCCCUGGAGUAAAUGCUUUCUCUGCUUAACCCAUGGGAAGCACUAUAACAAUUUUUUUUUUUUUUGUCUUUUGUCUUUCUAGGGCCACCCACGGCAUAUUGUCGGUUCUCAGACUAGGGGUCGAAUUGGAGCUGUACCUGCCGGCCCACGCCACAGCCACAGCAACGCCAGAUCUGAGCUGCAUCUGCAACCCACACCAUAGUUCAGGGCAACGCCGGAUCCUUAAGUGAGGCCAGGGAUCGAUCGAACCUGCAUCCACAUGGAUACUAGUCAGGUUCAUUAAGCACUGAGCCACAAUGGGAACUCCCAGAAUAAUAAUUUGUGAUAUGUAAUAUGAUAGACCACUUUGAAAUGUAGCUAGCCUGAUUGAGAAAUGGGCAAAACAGACUGGAUUUUGAAGAAUUGGCAUCAAAACAAAACAGCAAAAAAAGGAUAUCUCAUUGAUUUUUAUAUUGAUCACAUGUCAAUGGAAAUAUUUUAGGUAUAUCAUGUUAUUUUAUGCUUUCUUUUUAUUUUAAUGUGGCUAUUAGAAAAUGUGAAAUUACAUGUUUGGCUUGUUAUUAUAUUUUGAUCGGAAGCUCUGGUAUAGUUGAAAGAGCAUGGGAUCUGUCAUCAGAGAAGAUGGAUAUAGGGUUCAGUCCUGGCUUUACAACACAAAAAUUGCAUGGUGUUGGACAAGCCACUUGACCUCGCUGAGUCUUAGAUCAGCCAUUUAUAAGGAGAUAGUAUACUUAUAUUUCAGAGUAAUUGUGUGAAAUGGAGGUAAUAUGAUCAAGCAUCCAAAACAUGUUCAGAACAUGAUAGUUAUUAUGCUGAGAAAAGAUCAAGAGUCCUCCUCCCCCUUCCUGGUGCUAAAAAGACCUUUUUAUCCUUAUACUUACAACACAUGUUAUCAGCUGAGAAGUAUGGUGUCUAUCAAAACAAAGAAGCACAUCAGGGUAUGAAUAGAAAGCAUGGAUAAAGGACAGCAGCAGCUGCUUUGCCAGGCAGGAUCCUGUCUGUGCCAAGUUGCACGCACCUCUGCCGCUUCUCACUUUUCCUCUGACGUCUGGCUUUUACAGCUGCUGGAAUCUUAACCUUGGGAUAAGUCUGUAUCUACUCAAAGCCCGUAGCCUGCCUUCAAAAACCUAACUCUUACUUUGAGAAUUCUUCUGUUUCUGUGUUAGGCCCUUUGGCAUGGAUCCCACCUGUGUCUCAGAAUUUGUGCCUGGGACCUGCCCCAAUGCCCAUGCUCUUCCCUCUGAGUGAUCUCUUGGAGCUGGUCUGUCAGCCACUGAUGAGCUGUCAGGCACACCCUUGAGUUCUCAGUGUCUUUCAUCAGCUUCUGUGGCUUCCAGAUCCCUUCCUUAGGGCCUCAGAUAGCUACUCCUCAGAAUUAACACAUAAACUGUGCUCUAGCCAAUUUGGAUAAAAUUAAAAAUAUAUGACCCUGUGUUCACCCUCUUGUGUACCUCAGUUCAUGUCAUUUUUUUAAAAUGUAGAAUGUCUAAUUUCUCUUACUUCAAUAAGUAAAUAUACCAAAAAAAUCAUUUCAGGGAGUUCCCUCGUGGUGCAGUGGGUCAAGGCCCUGGUGUUGUCACUGGUGUGGCUCUGGCUGCAGCUGUAGUGGGAGUUCGAUACCUGGCACAGGAACUUCUAUAUGCCAUGGGUGUGGCCAGAAACAAAUCAUUUCAGUACUGCCCAUGAUCUUUCCUGUUGAGUGACAUUUCUCCCCAAUAAUCUACAGGAGGUAUUCCAUGUUUAUCUAUUAUUGCUCAUUAUAGUUAGAUAUUUAUUAUAGAUAUGUAUGUAUUUGUCUUAUCAUCACUAUUAAAUGAAUACACUUUAAUAAAUUUUAGGGUCCUGCAUGGCUCUGUCUUGGUAUGAAGCCACAUUCAAAAGGAGUCUCAUCCAAAAACCAGAAACGAAUGAAAAGUUCCCAAUAUUUACAUGCAUCUCCUUGAUAAUAUUAAAGAAUGUCUAAUUCACAACCUAUAAAAACAUUCUUUUCUGUACUUCUGUCCACACUACAUUGGUAUAGUUCUCUUUGUCUCUUCAUGAAGCCUCUUGUCAAACCCCUAAAGCUUUUUUUUUUUUUUGUCUUUUUGCCUUUUCUAGGGCCACUUCCCAUGGCAUAUGGAGGUUCCCAGGCUAGGGGUCUAAUCAGAGCUGUAGCCACUGGCCUAUACCACAGGCACAGCAACGCGGGAUCUGAGCUGCAUCUGUGACCUACACCACAGCUCAUGGCAACACCAGAUCCUUAACCCACUGAGCAAAGGCAGGGAUUGAACCUGCAACCUUAUGGUUCCUAAUUGCAUGCAUUAGCCACUGUGCCACG